rnacentral:rRNA from 1 species
UACGUAGGGUGCAAGCGUUAAUCGGAAUUACUGGGCGUAAAGCGUGCGCAGGCGGUUUUGUAAGUCUGUUGUGAAAUCCCCGGGCUCAACCUGGGAAUUGCAUCUGUGACUGCAUAGCUAGAGUACGGUAGAGGGGGAUGGAAUUCCGCGUGUAGCAGUGAAAUGCGUAGAUAUGCGGAGGAACACCGAUGGCGAAGGCAAUCCCCUGGACCUGUACUGACGCUCAAUGCACGAAAGCGUGGGGAGCAAACAGG